UACGGAGGGGGCAAGCGUUGUUCGGAUUUACUGGGCGUAAAGGGCGCGUAGGCGGCAAAUUAAGUCAGCUGUGAAAUCUCCGAGCUUAACUCGGAACGGUCAGCUGAUACUGAUCUGCUAGAGUGCGGAAGGGGCAAUCGGAAUUCUUGGUGUAGCGGUGAAAUGCGUAGAUAUCAAGAGGAACACCUGAGGUGAAGACGGGUUGCUGGGCCGACACUGACGCUGAGUGCGCGAAAGCCAGGGGAGCAAACGGG
rnacentral:rRNA from 1 species